GUGAAUCAUCGAAUUUUUGAACGCAUCUUGUACUCUCUGGUAUUCCGGAGAGCAUGCCUGUUUGAGGGUAAUUAAAAAGAAUCUUUAACCAAUUUUUUUGGACAAAUGAUGUGAGUUCUCCGCGUUUAUAGCGGUAGCUUGAAAUAAAUGGCAAAUUCUCAUAUUAGUCGAGACGCGUAAUAAUUUUAUUUUGCGUGAUCUUAAUUAUGUAACAUUCGAGUUUUUGUGUCUA
rnacentral:misc_RNA from 1 species